UUUAAAUUUUAGACUAAAAAGAUGUUUGAAGGAUAUUUUGAGAAUGGAAUGAGCCCUGCCGAAGGAAGAUACCAUAAAAGUUUGUUAUUGGAUGAAAAAGGUUGGAAAAAAAUGGCAGAUGCCUCUCUAAAUCCUACUAAAAAUGCACUUCAUUACCUUCAUAAAAAAUUGACUUUAAGGCAUUUUGGACAGGUAUUUGAGCCAAUACCAAAACUUCAAGAAAAAAAAAGUUUUAUCAUCAAUCAGGAAUAAAUAUUGAAAUUGCAACAACCCAUGGGCAGUAUUGGUAGUUACGCCAAUCAUGAAAAGAGCACAGGAACGGCAGUCCUCCAAGGAACUGAUAUUUUGCGACAGUACAUCAAGUUGUGCCACCAGCGAGACCACAGUUACUGUGUUACUAACAGCUACAAAAGCUGGUGCCAUUCCCAUUGCGAUACUUUUGCAUGAUGGGCAAACUUUUGAAAGUUAUGAACAAGCCUAUGGAUUGCUAAAACAGACAUUUCCAAACUCUUUUGGAGGGAACUUUGAGCCUAUAUGUUUUAUGGCAGACGACUCCAAAGCUGAAAAGAUAGCUCUUAAAAAUACAUUUCCAAAUUCUACUCAGCUACUGUGUUUUUUCACGUGCUUCAAAAAUAAUGGCGAUGGCUUUGUGAAAACAACAAUAAGAUUUCCAUGGAAAAGCGUCAAAUCUUAA